rnacentral:sRNA from 1 species
CUUUCCAGUUUGGUCUCUGUGUUAAAUCUGAUGCUUUUUCCAUCAUUUCUUAACCUUCUCAGGGAAAGAAGGAAUGAGAAACAUUAGUCUUAACGCAUCGAUGGAGGUUUACUAACCAAAUUAGUUAAAAAUCAGCAGAGAGUCAGGCCUCUUGCCAGGUGCUGGCUGAAGAUGCAAUCAAGGCUGCCCUGGCUGAUUAUAAAUUGAAACAAGAACCCAAAAAAGGAGAGGCAGAGAAGAAAUGAGCCCUCCCUUGGCGAAGCCUCCAGCAGGCCACACCAGCUGUUUCCCACCUGCCGUGCAGCCACCUUAGAUGUUCAGAAGCCGCUUCCUCUCCACUGAAGAGCUAUGAGAUACGCACAAUACUUGCUGUUCAUGUUAUGACUCUUAUGCAAGCAAAAUACACAGUUUCAUUGUUCUGAA